rnacentral:rRNA from 1 species
GACGAACGCUGGCGGCGUGCUUAACACAUGCAAGUCGAACGGUGAAGCGCCUUCCUUUUUGGUGGGUGUGGAUGAGUGGCGAACGGGUGAGUAACACGUGAGUAACCUGCCCCCUUCUUCUGGAUAACCGCAUGAAAGUGUGGCUAAUACGGGAUAUUCUGGGUCUGUCGCAUGAUGGGUCUGGGAAAGAUAUUGUUUCGGUGGGGGAUGGGCUCGCGGCCUAUCAGCUUGUUGGUGGGGUGAUGGCCUACCAAGGCGGUGACGGGUAGCCGGCCUGAGAGGGUGGACGGUCACACUGGGACUGAGACACGGCGCAGACUACUACGGGAGGCAGCAGUGGGGAAUAUUGCACAAUGGGCGCAAGCCUGAUGCAGCGACGCCGCGUGAGGGAUGGAGGCCUUCGGGUUGUGAACCUCUUUCGCCAGUGAAGCAGGCCUGCCUCGUCUGUGGGUGGGUUGACGGUAGCUGGAUAAGAAGCGCCGGCUAACUACGUG